CUUAGCCACCACACCACCCGUUGGCCCUUUAACAUUUAUGUAUCUAUUCAUUUGUUGUGAUUUUCAAGCUGCUGGGCCUGGGACUUGAACCAUGGUUGGUCAUGUGGGAAUCUAGCACCUUAACCACCACACCACCUGCUGGCUCCCAUAUUUAAAAUUUAAUUUUUGGAAAGGUAUGUGUUUGCAUGAUUCAAACAACAAAGCAUUUAGAAAUGAAAAAUUUCCUUUAUACUCUUGUCUUCCUCUACUAAGUCACCAUUCUUACAGAGAUUUUAAAUGCAUUUCCAAGCCAAUACAAAUAUAAGUUCUAUUUUCCUUUCCUUUUUCAUACACAUGGGAGCUUCUAUGUUUUGUUGCCUUUUCACUUAGCAGUGUAUCUUGGAGUUUUUUCAUAACCGUGGAAAAAUAUCCAAGAUAUACUUCACUUAAUAAUCUAUUUUGGAGAUCACUUCUACAUCAUCCCGUGGAUAUAUCAUUGUUUAUUUGACCAGUUCCAUAUUGAUAGAUACUUGGGAAAUUUUCAGUCUUUUGUUUUUACAAGGAAGCUUCAAUAAAUACUUUAGUUACAUAGAUUAUUUUGCAGUCAUACAACUAUAUUUGUAGGGUAAUUCCCUAAAAGUGGUAUUGUUGGGCCAAAAGGUAUGUAUCAUAGAAAUUUGAUAGGUACUACUAAAUUGCCUUCCAUAGGGCUUGUACAGUUAACCCCUUACCAGAAAUACAGGAGAAUGCUUGGUUACUCAUUUUCUUGCCAACAAAAUGUGUUAUUUAAUCUCUGGAUUUUUUCCAGUCCUGUAGGUGAAUAAUGUUAUCUUAGUGUAGUUUUAAUUUGUGUUUCUCUUAUGAGUAAGUUUGAACAUCUCCUCAUAUGUUGAAGAGCCAUUUAUAUUUCCUUUUUUCUGUGAAGUGUAUAUCCUUUGCUUAUUUUGGGAGGCGGGGGUGGUUUAAAUCACUUUGUAGUUGCUUUUUAUAAUAUGGAGAUUUGCCCUUUGUAAUAUGAGUUGCAGCAUGUUUUCCCCUCAUUUGUCAUUUGUCUUUCAGCUUUGCUUAUGAUGUUUUUGCUGUGUAGAUUUAUUUUUUAAUGUAGUCAAAUAUGUCAGUCUUCUUUCAUGACUUCUGGAUUUUGUCAUAGUUAAAAAAAACCUGCUCCACUCCAAAGUUAUGAGAGAAUUCUCUCAUGUUGACUUCCACUAUUUUAUGAUUUCUGUAUUACAUUUAAAGUUUUGGUCCAUCUUUAUUGGUGUAAGAUGUGAGGGAUUGGUCCAACUUAUUUUAUUUUAUUUCCUAAAUGGCUACUCAGUUGCCUCAACACCAUUUAUGAAAACUCUGGUACACAGUUUUGCUUGUUACUAAAACCAGAACUGAUUCAUCUACUUUUUUUCACACCUACUUUGCUGUAUCUGAAUAUGGACACGAUUCUUAUGUUUUUCUUUCUAUUGUAUACCUUCUUUAGUGGCAAAGCUGUCUUACCAUGCUGCAUCUCUGCCUUCUUCAGCAAUGCCAGCAGAUUCCCAUGAUGCAGCAGGGGCUGGCCUCAGAACCUCAUCUGAAUGACUUUGGAGAAAUGCCUUCUCAAUUUGAACCUCAAGCACUUUUCUUUUCUUUCUCCUUUUUUUUGGGGCCCUGCCUAGGACAGGGAUCUUCAUAGAAGACAGCAAAAACUAGCACUCACCAUCUUUUCUGGAAUCUUGAAAGAAGAACUAGGUCUGGCAGUAGAUCAGGAUCCACCUGCUGCGGAAAAACCAGAAGGAUCAUUGACGGUGUCUUGAAAGGAGAAAUAAAGUACUUACCUCAAGAGUUUCACCAAAUUUUCAUACUAGCUUUUAAAUUCACAAAACUAUUAAAAACAGAAUUGAAUUAAGU